CAUUUACUCAUUUAAUCUCCAGCAUAUGGAUAUGAGAGCUGAGGUAUAUAUGCCCAUUUUCUGGACAAAAAUACUGAGGCGCCGAGAGGUAACAAUUUGCUGAAGGACACACAUCUCACGUCAGUAGCAGAAUCAAGUGACUUCUUCUUCAGUUUCCAGAGCCUUUACCCAAACACAGGAUGCCUUCAGCCGCAGACAGGCACCACACACAGUCCUUCUGUGAGCCCUCUUUGCAGGGAGCAGCAGCUUCCCAGGAGAAUGGCAGCUUCAGAGACAACCCAGUCACCCUCUUACUACAGACAAAUGCUUACAAGAAUCUCCUUGAACCCUCCUGGCACUCCGCCCCCCCAAACCCCACAGGGCUCUUUCUGUGCACAUCACAGGAAGCUCCUCAGCCCUUACGUCCUCCAAGGCACUGUCCUCAACACACACUAGAUGCUGACACAAAUCGCCCCAUGUACUCUUGCCUAUACAGAGACCAGGCGCUUUCUUGGUAUGCUCUACUCAAACCUGGGUCUCUCCCUGGAAUGCUGACAUUUGGGCCAGCUCAGUCUUUGUCCUGAGGGGCUGUGCUGUGUGGCAUAAGCUGUGUUCUCUACUGGAUGCCUGAAGAAACCCCCACUGUGUUCUGUUCCCUGAAGGACUUUGCUGAAUACUGCCUGGCCUGCCUCCUGAGGGGCUUGCCUGGCUUACAUUAAUAGUUAAUACCAUAAACAGUUAAAUGUGCUUACUACAUGCCAGGUCCUGUGCUAGAUACAUUUCAUGUUUGAAUUCACUACAGAUUUAUGAGCCUACAGUGCAGCACUGUCCCUUCCAGUCUACAGACACGAAAACAAUGAGCUUAAAUCCCAAGGUCUCACAUCUGGCAGGUGGGCAGUCUGUUAUACCUAAGGAAAUCUAGGCUUCCCCUUCCACCAAAGACGGAAUUUUACUUUUUAUUGUAUUAAAUACAUAUAACAAGAUUACCAUUUGACCGCUUUAGCAUAAGCAGACUGGCAUAUGGUAUGGAGGAGCUUUUGCCCUCCCCAUGCCCUUUUAGAAGAAGCUUCUACCUUAGGCAAUGAGGUGCAGCUAUAAAUACAUGACGAAUACGAAACACACACACACACACACACACACACACACACACACACACACACACACACAAUGAGGGCUGGAAUCCCAUGUUUAGAUUCUGUUCUUUUUCUCCAUGUUCAGGAUCUUGCAUCUAGGCAGGUGUCCAGUAACAAGGAAGCAAUGGGAUGUUGUCAGAUGAAGAAGAGAGGAUGGGUAAGUAGCUAAAACGAUGUGGGGACCAGCCAUUUGGGGUGCUCAGCUUUGCAGAGAAAGUGAGGACCUUAGAAGUUUAUGAGAUCACUGGCUGCUUCCCCACUUACUUCUGACCAACCCACCUCUCAGUCUCCAGCAGCCAUGAGCCUCUUUCUGCCUUACCUGAAGAUUUCUGAUUACCAUUAGCUUAUUAUUUUCCUACAGACCCUGAGUAUGUCCUGGUGAUGCAUUUUAAAGAGGCCUGAUGAAGAGCGCCCAUCGGUCCCUUGUUUCCAGCCCCAACGUGUGUACUCCUGGGCCCUUUACACUUCUUUGCUAGUGUCCGAGACUCCUCUGCAACCCAAGCUACAUCUGUCCACAAUCACUAGUCUGACUCUACUGCUCUUGCUGCCUCUGGGCAGUGCAGGAAAUGAAGCUCCAGAUUACACAUGCUGGCCAGGAAACACAAGGUGAGGUCCAUAGUAUCUUACUGGUGUUUGUGGUAAUUAGAGUAUGUCUGGGGGAAAAUGGUGGAUGACCUUAUUAAAGGUUUGAAUGGAACCAGUGAUUCUAUUUCCAGAAUUCUCCUAGGCAGUUCUAAAGACAAAGAUUUAAAUAGACAUGUGUGUGUGUGUGUGUGUGUGUGUUGUGUAUGUAUGUGUACAUGUGUGUGCAUGUGUAUGUGUGCAUGUGUAUGUGUGCAUGUGUAUGUGUGCAUGUGUAUGUGUGUAUGUGUAUAAGCAACAUUAUAUAACAGGUAAUGUGUUAUUACACACUAACCAAAGAGGUCAGAGUCACCUCAGGUGAGGGGAUCCACCCAUGUAAUGUGUUAUGACAAACACACUAAACAAAGAUGUCAGAGUCACCUCAGGCGAGAGAAUCCACCCUCAAAGAUUAUUAGGGGAGUCACAGUCUGCUGCACCAGAGGCAGGCAUGUUCCUCAUUUUAGUAAAUGAAAGGGACCAAAAAAAAAAAAUGGAUAAGCAACAGUAUCUCUCAGUGGAGAAUUGUCCCAGGCCUCUAGUUUCUUCUAUAUUUUAGCAUUUUCUAUAAUUACAGUUUAGUUCUGUUAAAUAACAAUAUUUUUACUAUAUUGCAUGUCUGUUAGUCAUGUGAAUACAUGGUAAGCUCUUUGUAUCUGAGCUACACUUGACGUUCAUUCUAAAACUUUCUUUUGUGGAGGGGGAGAAGAAACUCAUGUGGUCCCUUAUCACAGAGCUAUUGAACAAGAUCCAGAAAGAGAUCCAAGUCCUAAUUCUCCUGUCUGAAACUCACAGUGCUCCUCACAGCUAUAGGGUUCCCUGGGAGAGUCAAUCACACACUCUGAUAUCUUGGUACACUUUCUGGUUCACUUUUAAGAAUACCAGGCCUGGGAAUCUGCAUCCCUAACUCCCCCAGACCAUGCUGGUGUGGCCGGCUCUGGGACCCCUGACUUAUGCUUUUCACUCAGCGUGUGGGCUUAUCUAAUAAGAACCACAUGGAGGACAGGUAAACAAAGCCCCCCCGACACCUUCUCAAGGCUCCCCCUCAGAAUGAUCAUACCCUGCUUUCUGAAGAGAGAGCCCAGUGCCUUAGACAUCUCCCAGGGAGAACAAUGCACUUCUAGAAUUGCGAGCCCUCACUCACAUGCGUCUCUAGUGCUUCAGCUUAUGCCGACUAUUAGAAAACACGAAAGGAUAAAAAAAUUGCUAUUGAAGAAAUGGUUCCUCUCCAAAGGAGUCAACAUUUUUUAAAUAUCAAAUCAUGUUUCUACGUGUGUCCCUCCAUCUCAUCCCCUUCCUGGAAACCUCUAUGGACCCUUAAGAGAAAAAGCAAAAAUCCAUACCAUAGUUUCUUACAGGGGUGGUCUGGCCCCUGCCACCUGCCCAGCCUUUCCUCUCACCACUUCCCUGAUGUUACCUGGAGGAUAACCAACCAUACACCUAGCAGUGUGGUUUUGAAGUUAUAAAUCAUGAGCACCCCCCAAGCCGGCUGGCUUUGUGAGCUCAGCCUCUCCGCACACUCUCCAUCACAAUUAAAGGCCAUGUCAGGUCACCGGCCACCAAGAAGGUCCUCGCUGCAACUUACCCAGUGCCCCACUGCAUCUUACUCAUACCGAUGUUCACAGACAAACUCUCUGAAGGUGAGGAGACCACACGGAGGCUUAUGACCGUCACUUUCAAACACCGAUAUAAAAUCCAGGAUCUGGGAUCUUUGGGGUUCCUUCUGGAUUGUUGUGUCUAAUUACUGUCAUUGUAAAAAGGAAGCACUGGAAAUGGGGGUGGGGACCUUGUGUGGGUCAGGCCCAGAGUCAGGAGGUCUAAGGAAUAAGACUAGGUAGGUUUGGGGCUUGAGUAAUGGCAUUCUGUAUCUUGGAAGUAAUAAAUAUAGAUCUAUUUAUCCCCUCUCUCUCUCAUCUACUUAUCAUCUGUCUAAUUUUGAUGUCUUUCUUCUUAUCAAGAUGGAACUGAUGUUGUUAUUCUCACUUUGUAGGCCAGAAAGACCUGGCCUCUGCUGUGAGGUCUGUAUGUCCUUGGAGUGAGGCUCAUGAACCUUGACGACCUUUCCCAUGGAAAUCCCUGCAUUCCUAGUGUUACAGAUGAGCAAUCUACUGACACCAGGACUAAUUUCUCCUCUCCUUUCCUGAGAGCUCUUUUCCCCAAUACUUAGAAAUGGAACAUGAAAACAACCCGUGGUCCAUCUAUGGACUCUACUCCAGCAGGCUGCGGGCCCUGGCGUGGCCCCCAAGAAGGCUGUAUUUUGUGGAAACUGAAUACACUCACUUUUCAGCAGUGGUUUCAGUUCA